GCCCUUAUAGCUCAGUGGUAGAGCGCAGCACUUGUAAUGCUGAGGUCCGUAGAUCAAUCCUGCGUGGGGGCA